rnacentral:rRNA from 1 species
UCUCCUGGAAACGGGUGGUAAUGCCGGAUGCUCCGCCCCCUCGCAUGGGGGGUCGGGAAGGCUUCUGCGGAAUGGGACGGGGUCGCGUCCUAUCAGCUUGUUGGCGGGGCGACGGCCCACCAAGGCUUCGACGGGUAGCCGGCCUGAGAGGGCGACCGGCCACAUUGGGACUGAGAUACGGCCCAGACUCCUACGGGAGGCAGCAGUGGGGAAUAUUGCACAAUGGGGGGAACCCUGAUGCAGCGACGCCGCGUGCGGGAUGGAGGCCUUCGGGUCGUGAACCGCUUUUGAUUGGGAGCAAGCGUGAGUGAGUGUACCUUUCGAAUAAGCACCGGCUAACUACGUGCCAGCAGCCGCGGUAAUACGUAGGGUGCAAGCGUUGUCCGGAAUCAUUGGGCGUAAAGGGCUCGUAGGCGGUUCGUCGCGUCCGGGUGUGAAAGCCCAUCGCUUAACGGUGGGUCUGCGCCGGGUACGGGCGGGGCUUUGAGUGGCGGCAGGGGGAGGCUGGAAUUCCCGGUGUAACGGGUGGAUGGUGUAAAUAAUCGGGGAAAGAACCACCCA